GACGAACGCUGGCGGCGUGCUUAACACAUGCAAGUCGAACGGAAAGGCCCUGCUUUUGUGGGGUGCUCGAGUGGCGAACGGGUGAGUAACACGUGAGUAACCUGCCCUUGACUUUGGGAUAACUUCAGGAAACUGGGGCUAAUACCGGAUAGGAGCUCCUGCUGCAUGGUGGGGGUUGGAAAGUUUCGGCGGUUGGGGAUGGACUCGCGGCGUAUCAGCUUGUUGGUGGGGUAGUGGCUUACCAAGGCUUUGACGGGUAGCCGGCCUGGGAGGGUGACCGGCCACAUUGGGACUGAGAUACGGCCCAGACUCCUACGGGAGGCAGCAGUGGGGAAUAUUGCACAAUGGGCGGAAGCCUGAUGCAGCAACGCCGCGUGCGGGAUGACGGCCUUCGGGUUGUAAACCGCUGUCGCCUGUGACGAAGCGUGAGUGACGGUAAUGGGUAAAGAAGCACCGGCUAACUACGUG
rnacentral:rRNA from 1 species